rnacentral:rRNA from 1 species
GAUGAACGCUGGCGGCGUGCCUAAUACAUGCAAGUCGAGCGAACAGAUGAGGAGCUUGCUCCUCUGACGUUAGCGGCGGACGGGUGAGUAACACGUGGAUAACCUACCUAUAAGACUGGGAUAACUUCGGGAAACCGGAGCUAAUACCGGAUAAUAUAUUGAACCGCAUGGUUCAAUAGUGAAAGACGGUUUUGCUGUCACUUAUAGAUGGAUCCGCGCCGCAUUAGCUAGUUGGUAAGGUAACGGCUUACCAAGGCAACGAUGCGUAGCCGACCUGAGAGGGUGAUCGGCCACACUGGAACUGAGACACGGUCCAGACUCCUACGGGAGGCAGCAGUAGGGAAUCUUCCGCAAUGGGCGAAAGCCUGACGGCGCAACGCCGCGUGAGUGAUGAAGGUCUUCGGAUCGUAAAACUCUGUUAUUAGGGAAGAACAAAUGUGUAAGUAACUAUGCACGUCUUGACGGUACCUAAUCAGAAAGCCACGGCUAACUACGUG